AAUGAACGUUGGCGGCGUGGAUUAGGCAUGCAAGUCGUGCGGAAAGGCCCCGCAAGGGGUACUCGAGCGGCGGAAGGGAUAGUAAUGCGUGGAUACCUACCCUCAGGCCUGGGAUAGCUGCUGGAAACGGCAAUUAAUACCAGAUAAUGUCUCCGGACUAAAGGUGUGAUUCCGUCUGAGGAGGGGGUCCGCGUCCUAUUAGCUAGUUGGUGAGGUAACGACUCACCAAGGCGACGAUGGGUAGCGGGUGUGAGAGCACGACCCGCAUCACUGGGACUGAGAACUGCCCAGACACCUACGGGAGGCAG
rnacentral:rRNA from 1 species